UGUUCCUCUAAACCAAGGGGUCCUUAUGGCCCUUUUCCUGCAACUGGCACGCAACAUAGCCGAUGAGAUAUCCCUGAAGCUUCAAGGGAUACAAAGGAUGUUAUUACUCAACCCACAUGAUUGGGAGUUAUAGAGGGACUUUAUGCCGCACAUUCCUCAGUACAUGCAGUAAAAUGCAGGAACAAUGGGAAAAUAAAAUAUUAACAGAGGUUGCGGUUGGAGAACCUCAGAAUCAUGCUCUUCUCUGAAAUCCAGUUAGCUGGAGUAAUCCCCCUUUGGAAACAUUGAUAGAAACUCAAUAUUAUCCAAGGAACUUUCAUUCCAUUGGCUCUCUCUGUCCCCUCAAGUAAGCAGGUCAUACAUUAGGAUGCUCAAGUUACAGUGACUUGAUGUAGGCAAGUAACUUUCACACAUUUUCUCUUCCAACCAUCCCAACCCCGCCGAGCUCCUGAUGUUAGGCCCGGGCGUGGGUGCCGUGAGAACCUGACCGUGCCUCACGCGAGAGACUUCCCCGCAUUCGCGUGCCGCCACCAGAGC